ACUCUGAAAGAAGGUAAUAACUCACCUCACUGGAAUGAUCGACUAGAAUUCUUCCCCGAUGAGCUGGAGUAUGUUCUUUGAAAGGGAUGCCUAAAUCCAGGCGUGGGUUUGUUGUGGCGAAGACGUCACAGGGAAUAUGGUAUAAAAGAAAACAAAAACUACAGACAACGAUGACAACGAACCUGAUCCUCCUUAUUGAGGGCGUUCACAUCUGACCACUUGUCAAUCAAAAGCUUGGCAAUGUCAUCGCGACCUGCUGCGGCUGCGCAGUGAAGUGGUGUGUUACCAUGGUGAUCCACGGCUUUAACGUCAGCACCUCGUCUGACAAGUACAUCAGCAGUUCCGAAGGUCCAGCUGAGGAUAGACAUAAAUAAAUUAUUACCACAGUAUUACCAUCAUAAAUAAAUGUUUACCACAUGAUUACCAUCAUUAAUAAAUGAUUACCACAGGAUUACCAUUAUAAAUAAAUGUUUAGCACACGAUAACCAUAAUAAAUAAAUGAUUAGCACAGGAUUACCAUCAUAAAUAAAUAAUUACCACAUGAUUGUCAUCAUAAAUAAAUGAUGACUACAUGAUUACCGUCAUAAAUAAAUGAUGACCACAUGAUUACCAUCAUAAAUAAAUAAUGACCACAGGGUUACCAUCAUAAAUAAAUGAUGACCACAUGAUUACCAUCAUAAAUGAAUGAUUACCACAGGAUUACCAUAAUAAAUAAAUGAUGACCACAUGAUUACCAUCAUAAAUGAAUGAUUACCACAGGAUUACCAUAAUAAAUAAAUGAUGACCACAGGAUUACCAUCAUAAAUAAAUGAUUACCAAAGGAUUACCAUCAUAAAUAAACGAUGACCACAGGAUAACCAUAAUAAAUAAAUAAUUACCAAAGGAUUACCAUCAUAAAUAAAUGAUUACCACAGGAUAACCAUCAUAAAUAAAUAAUGACCAGAUGAUAACCAUCAUAAAUAAAUGAUUACCAAAGAAUAACCAUCAUAAAUAAAUGAUUAACACAGGAUUACCAUCAUAAAUAAAUUAUUACAACAGGAUAACCAUAAUAAAUAAAUAAUGACCAGAUGAUAACCAUCAUAAAUAAAUGAUUACCACAUA